rnacentral:rRNA from 1 species
GACAGAGGGGGCAAGCGUUGCUCGGAAUUACUGGGCGUAAAGGGCGCGUAGGCGGGAUGGCAAGUCGGUCGUGAAAUCCCUCGGCUCAACCGAGAAACGUCGGCUGAUACUGCCGUUCUUGAGGGAUGCAGAGGAGACUGGAAUUCCCGGUGUAGCGGUGAAAUGUGUAGAGAUCGGGAGGAACACCGGUGGCGAAGGCGGGUCUCUGGGCAUCUCCUGGACGCUGAGGCGCGAAAGCGUGGGGAGCAAACGGG